GACGAACGCUGGCGGCGUGCUUAACACAUGCAGGUCGAACGGUGAACUCCGCUUGCGGGGGGAUCAGUGGCGAACGGGUGAGUAACACGUGGGCAACCUGCCCUCAGCUCUGGGAUAACUCCAAGAAAUUGGGGCUAAUACCGGAUAUGACCGCUGACCGCAUGGUCUGGUGGUGGAAAGAUUUAUCGGCUGGGGAUGGGCCCGCGGCCUAUCAGCUUGUUGGUGGGGUAGUGGCCUACCAAGGCGACGACGGGUAGCCGGCCUGAGAGGGUGACCGGCCACACUGGGACUGAGACACGGCCCAGACUCCUACGGGAGGCAGCAGUGGGGAAUAUUGCGCAAUGGGCGAAAGCCUGACGCAGCGACGCCGCGUGGGGGAUGACGGCCUUCGGGUUGUAAACCUCUUUCAGCAGGGACGAAGCGAAAGUGACGGUACCUGCAGAAGAAGCACCGGCCAACUACGUG
rnacentral:rRNA from 1 species